rnacentral:rRNA from 1 species
UACGGGGGGGGCAAGCGUUGUUCGGAAUUACUGGGCGUAAAGGGCUCGUAGGCGGCCAACUAAGUCAGACGUGAAAUCCCUCGGCUUAACCGGGGAACUGCGUCUGAUACUGGAUGGCUUGAAUCCGGGAGAGGGAUGUGGAAUUCCAGGUGUAGCGGUGAAAUGCGUAGAUAUCUGGAGGAACACCGGUGGCGAAGGCGGCAUCCUGGACCGGUAUUGACGCUGAGGCGCGAAAGCCAGGGGAGCAAACGGG